rnacentral:rRNA from 1 species
AAUCUCCGCGACACACAGACGCCGACACCCCCUUUUCCUCUAUAUUGCGCCCACUCAGUUAAUGUUGGGGCAACCUCUUAAGANUAUACUGCCCGGAUGACAAACCGGAGGAAGGCGGGGAUGACGUCAAAUCAUCAUGGCCCUUACGACUUGGGCUACACACGUGCUACAAUGGACAGUACAAAGGGUUGCUACCCCGCGAUGGGAUGCUAAUCUCAAAAAGCCGAUCUCAGUCCGGAUUGGAGUCUGCAACUCGACUCCAUGAAGUCGGAAUCGCUAGUAAUCGCGGAUCAGAAUGCCGCGGUGAAUACGUUCCCGGNUCUUGUACACACCGAAA